UACGGAGGGUGCAAGCGUUAUCCGGAUUCACUGGGUUUAAAGGGUGCGUAGGCGGGUAGGUAAGUCAGUGGUGAAAUCUCCGAGCUUAACUCGGAAACUGCCAUUGAUACUAUUUAUCUUGAAUGUUCUGGAGGUGAGCGGAAUAUGUCAUGUAGCGGUGAAAUGCUUAGAUAUGACAUAGAACACCAAUUGCGUAGGCAGCUCACUACGGAAAUAUUGACGCUGAGGCACGAAAGCGUGAGGAUCAAACAGG
rnacentral:rRNA from 1 species